rnacentral:rRNA from 1 species
CCCUGCCUUUUGUACACACCGCCCGUCGCACCUACCGAUUGAAUGAUUCGGUGAAAAUUUCGGACUGUGAUUUUUAUACUCUCGGGUAUUUUUAUCGUAGAAAGUUAUUUAAACCUCAUCAUUUAGAG